rnacentral:rRNA from 1 species
UACGAAGGGUGCAAGCGUUGUUCGGAAUUACUGGGCGUAAAGGGCGUGUAGGCGGACAGAUUAGUUGGGAGUGAAAUCCCGGGGCUCAACCUCGGAACUGCUUUCAAAACGGUUUGUCUAGAGUGUAGUAGGGGACAAUGGAAUACCCAGUGGAGAGGUUAAAUUCGUAGAGAUUGGGUAGAACACCAGAGGCGAAGGCGAUUGUCUGGACUAUUACUGACGCUGAGGCGCGAAAGCGUGGGGAUCAAAC